CACAUGCAGGAGCGAUGCAUAAGACAUGAGCGCUGUCAGGGAGGUGAGUGGGUCGCAGCUCCAACCCUGUGCUAUUCAUAGACCCAGCGAUAACAGGUUGACUUCUCUGGGAAACAGCGGGCAGGCAGAGGAGGGGGAGGGUGGUGGAGGAGAAACAAAGGAAGGAGGGUGCAGAAGAAUUCACCUGUGGAAAAGAAGCAGGAAAGGCUCAGAGGAGAAGAGGAGGAUGCUUAGGGUUGAAAAAAAGGAUUAAACGGAGAAUAACGAGGACGAGCGAGCGUCUUUUCAUCCACGCACACCUGCAGCGGCGUGCACACGACAGCCUCACAUCGGAUUGCGGGUGACAGCGGGGGAGAAAAGAGGGAUUGCUGCAAAGAAUAGAGCAAAAGAGGGAAGAAUUGGAGAGUUUCCAUCCAAACGUCAGUUUUGUUUCAGCGAAGGCCUGGAGGAAAAGUGGAGCAUCUUUCCUCAGAGUGUGAAAACAAACAUGUGAGAGGAGAUGACAACAUGGAGCAUCAAACCAGUCUCAGUCAGCAGCAGAGGAAAGAAUCAACUGGGGGGGAAAAAACUUUGCAUUUUGGGGAUUUAUUCUUCCCACAAUUUAUGACUUUUACUCCCCAAGUUCACAGACAGACGACAUCAGCCUUAAUGAAACAGUUUUAACACAUAAAAACGACAAUUACUUAUCGAAAACAGGACUCGCAGUGUCAGUCCACUGGAAAUUCAACAUCGCUGAUGACAUAGAAACAGAUUGAAAGCAACAAGACAAAUCCCAAAGUCACUUCUAAAUCAGUAAAUGAUUCAAAUUUAAUAUUGAAGGGGUUUGUACAAAACUGCUGAAUUGACCUUUUACUUUUUAUUUUUUACAGAUUUGAUGCGGAGCUCUUCAAGCUCAAGCGUAUGGCCUGUUCUUUUUCUCUCUCUUCACAUAUUAAAUUGAUUUUCGUUUGCUCUAACUUGAUUUGCUCAAACUUGAAUUUCAUCUCUAAGUUCUUCCCUUCAGACUCUCCAUGGCUCUUUACUGUUGAUGCACUGCGCCGCCAUCUUUAAUUAUGACGUUGUCGUCGAGUCAGGGUUGGCGAGGAUCGUCCGACUGUCCGAGUCGGAAAUCCGACCGGCUUCAGGUGGAUGAAUUUCUGACUCAGAGCUCGGAUAUCCCGCACAACUGGGACGCAGCAUUAAUUCUGCACUAUCGUGGUUCCGCUCCGUCUUUAAUCCCCUCUGGUUCUGAGGUUGUGAGUGAAAAAAAAAACACUUUUCAGAUGAAUUUCAAGAGAAAAACCUCUUAGAUAAGUUCAUAGGUCCGCCUACACACUAGAUUCUAUGCAGGAAAGAAGCACGUUCUGCUUGUUAUGGAAACCAUGGUAACCAACUCCAGGCAUGUGAUGCUGCAGCUGAUAAAUAUUAACCACAAUUUGAUCAGACUGAGGAGAUAGACUCGGUUGAAGAUGAGGUGAAACUGGAGAUCCUGCAGAUCCAGGAAAUGAAACACUAACCAACGGACCAAUCACAGAGCUGACAACCUGAACUGUUUUGUUGCAUGGUCACAUUUUUUUAAAGAGGGGCGUGUCGGGCUUAUGCAACAGACUCAAGACUCACGGAUGUUUCGGGUUGCUGUCGUGGUAAUUCCUGCACGUCGUUCUCGUCGCCACCUCACCUGGACGUGAGCCUGCUAACCAAACCUGAGCAACCACCUCUUCUAUUUGCUCUGCCACACAGCCAAUCCUUCAUGCCAACCUUCAGUCUAUCUGAACCGGCUGCAUUCCUCGCCACGUUAAAGGCGAUCUUGAAACAGAUACCACAGCUCCACGCUGGAACGGACUCUAAUCCCUCUUUUCUUACUGGCCUCUUGGUCCUCAUCCAGUUGUUCUACGAUUGUCAAGCGAACUCCCUCAGGCGAAGGCGCUUCCUUUUUUUUCUGGCUUUAAUAAUAGUCGGGAUAAUGCAUUUUAUAAGGAACACAUGUUUCAUUAAAUGCAAAUCUCAGAGGUGGAGACAGAGAGUAAUCAAAAGCAGGUAAAACAACAGGGACACGAGUAAGUGGUUGAAUUUUUGAGGCACUUUGAAAUAAAUUUCAGGUUUUCCUGAAGUGUGUGAUGUGCUUUCAGGUGGGCGAGGAGCGCGCUGAAGAGGUUUCCGAAACCCCCCUGCGGUUCACGUCAAACCUGAGGGCCUGAACCUGUCGGUGCAAACGGAGGUGCAAGAUGUAAUUUUCUUUUCCUCCUGCCUUUCUUCCUCCAUUUCGCUCUCAUUCAUCCUAUUCCCUCUCCUGCCUUCUCCUCUCCUCUCCCUCCUUCCCUCUGCUCUCUCUGCCUGAGCCUGCCCUGACCCAGACGUCUGUUCCCUGUCUGAGCUCUUGCCAGAUUCCUGCAAGGGGAGGAAUGCACAAGAAGGCCCUCGCUGAGCCACAAUUAACAUUUCAUCGGUGCUGCGCCCACACCUAUGCAGGGUGCUUAAUGAUGGCAUAUUCAUGAAAGGCAAAUAUUUGCACAGAAAAGCUGUCUCCCAGCGACCGCAGAGAGGUAGGGGAAGAUAACUGAAAGGAGCUCGCAGCACUUUAAAAAAAAAGAAGGAGAAGGGGGGGAGGAUGUGAAAAAAAGAGAGGAGUGGGUUUUUUAAAAGACUGUUAAGGAUACCCUGUGAGGAGUGUGUGGUGACAGGAGAAAACCCUCUCUGCGGGGGGACGCCGGCGCACGCUGGGAGGACACCAGCAACAGGGAAAAAAAUCUCGGCACAUCGGCGUGGGGAGAGAAAUCAAGAAGAUAGAGAGAGGGGGUGACAGGUAGAGUGAAAUAUUCUUUCAGUAGAUUGAGAAAUUAGGUACAGCGAAGAAGAAGAAGAAGAAGAAACGCACAGCUGACAAAGGGAAGAGAAGAAGAGAUGAUACACUGACAGUUUUCCAAGAGGAGCAGACUGCAAACCGUCCUCCAUUUCCCCAAAGAACAUCCCUCCCUACUGCUGCCCCCAGCUGCGAGCAUGCACACACACCAACACACACACACCAGCAUCCACACACACACACACAUCCAGCUCUGGCGCUCGGUUGGGGGAGGGGAACAGCGAGAUGCAGGGAGACGGCGAGGGAUAGUGAUGGAGAGAGGAAGCAGAGAAGGAUGCAACGAGGAGACGAGGAUGAGGAGACAGGAAGGUGAGGAAACGAGGGAGAGAGACACGCAGGUGCUGCGGCGUCUCUACUGUAAAUCACUCACCUGACUCAGCAUCACACACACACACACACACAAACACACACACACUCUUUCAAACACACACACACACACCUCUCUGUGUUUAUCGUUCAAGUUGCCCUGCCCGCCACCACACACGUCAAAUUCCAACAAAAUCCCCCCGCAGAGAAGUAAUUCAGGAGUCAAUAACGCAGCACACAUGCACACACACCAUCCCCCCUUCAUACACACACACACACACACACACACACGUAUGUAUACGUGCACACACAUGCAGACCUAAACCAGACAGCUGGAGCUAUCACACCAAAGCCUGCAGAGCCAGCUUUCUGCAGAUGGAUUUGAGAAGUGGGCUUUACCGUAUCAUCUGCCAGCACGCUGCUGGGAAUGAGACGUCACCAUCAGAACAGCCUACUGCCUUAUAAGGCAAUUAUCUCUCUCUCUCUCCUUCUGUCUCCCUCUCUCUCUUUCUAGGGGAGGGAUGAGUGGUUUCAAUUAUUGCGACAAAGACCAAAUUAGGCACCUGGCAAUUUCAGUAUGGCUCCUUUCUGUGCGUCAAGUUGAAAGGAUGUGGUUUUGAUCGAGAGGUGAUGUGGCCGCGUGUAUCUCAGUCUCACAUGCAGCGAGUUUGCACGCUGAUAAACAAAUUACUUUUCGGAGACAAACCUUUGCAGAAGACGUGACCCUCGACAGAGAGAAGACGGAGGUUUUCUUUUGUUCUUAUCUGCACGCUGCUCCUCACAUUCCAGUAUGCCGGUCACACAAAGGCCCGGCAGCAGCGUGCAGGCCGGGAAUCGAUCCACCCGCGGCAGCUUUGAGGGCACAUUGAGUCUCUAUAGGCUCAUUGACUACUUCAGGAUCAAUAGCAGCUGAUUAUCGGCUGGAGGAACCUGCUGGGGUAUCUGACACUGCUCUGCUGCUGGGCUCGGUUUCACACGCAGACCACAAUGAACACAAGAUACACGAGUGCAACUAGUUGCUGCUCUCUGCAUGCGCACUGAAACAGUGGUUCUCAACUGGUGGGUCCUGACCCAAAAGUGGGUCGGGGACACGUUCUGGAUGGGUCGCAAACAGCUGGUCAAAAAAGUCAAUAUUUAAUGCGCAUCUGAUGUUUGACAGGUCUUUUAUUUUGAAAAAUAGCUUCUUUUGAAAAGGCAAGUGGUCCUCCUC